AGAGUUUGAUCUUGGCUCAGGAUGAAUGCUAGCGGCAUGCAUAACAUAUGCAAGUCAGACGGGAAGUGGUGUUUCCAGUGGCAAACAGGUGAGUAACGCGUAAGAACUUGCCCUUGGAGGGGAACAACAACUAAAAAUGGUUGCUAAUAUCUCGUAGCCUGAGGAGCAAAAGGAGGAAUCUGCUUGAGGAGGGGCUUGCAUCUGAUUAGCUAGUUGGGGAGGUAAUAGCUUACCAAGGUGAUGAUUAGUGGCUGGUCUGAGAGGAUGAUCAACCAUGCUGGGACUGAGAUAUGGCCCAAACUCCUACGGGAGGCAGCAGUGAAAAUUUCCACAAUAAGCAAAAGCCUGAUGGAGCAAUGCCGCAUGGAGGUAGAAGGCCCAUGGGUCGUGAACUUCUUUCUCGGAGAAGAAGCAAUGAUGAUAUCUGAGGAAUAAGCAUCAGCUAACUCUGUGCUAGUAGCCGUGGUAAGACAAAGGAUACAAACGUUAUCCAGAAUGAUUGGGUGUAAAGCAUUUGUAGGUGGCUUUUCAGGUCCGCCGUCAAAUCUCAGGGCUCAACCUUGGACAGAUAGUGGAAACUACUAAGCUGGAGUACGGUAGGGACAGAGAAAAUUUUGAUAGAGCGGUGAAAUGCAUAGAGAUCAAAAGAACACCAAUAGUGAAAGCACUCUACUGGGCUAACACUAACACUGAGAGACAAAAGCUAGGAGAGCAAAUGGGAUUAGAUACCCCAGUAGUCCUAGUCGCAAACGAUGGAUACUAGGUGCUGUGCGUAUCGGCCCGUGUAGUGCUAUAGCUAACGUGUUAAGUAUCCCACUUGAAGAGUACGUUCAUAAGAAUAAAACUUCAAGAAAUUGAUGGGGGCCACACAAGCGAUGGAGCAUGUGGUUUAAUUCGAUGCGAAGUGAAGAACCUUAUCGAGGCUUGACAUGCCGCGAAUCCUCUUGAAAGAGAGGGGUGCCUUCGAGGUGCGGACACAGGUGGUGCAUGGCUAUCAUUAGCUCAUGUCGUAAGGUGUUGGGUUAAGUCCUGGAACAAGCACAACCCUCGUGUUUAGCUACCACCGUUGAGUUUGGAACCCUGAACAAACUACCGAUGAUAAGCCGGAGGAAGAUGAGGAUGACGUCAAGUCAUCAUGCCCCUUAUGCCCUGGGUGACACACGUGCUAUAAUGGCCACGACAAAGGAUCGCGAUCCUAUGAGAGUGAGCUAACUCUAAAAAUCCAUCCUCAGUUCGGAUUGCAGGCUGCAACAACUUGCCUACAUGAAGUCAGAAUCACUAGUAAUCGUUGGUCAGCCAUAUGGCAGUGAAUUCAUUCCUGGACCUUAUACACACCGCCCGUCAUACUAUGGGAGCUGGCCAUGUCUGAAGUUGUUACCUUAACUGCAAGGAGGGGGAUGCAGAAGGUGGGGCUAAUGACUAGAGUGAAGUCGUAACAAGAUAGUCGUAUUGGAAGGUGUGGCUG
rnacentral:rRNA from 1 species